AAUUAGAAUGCAAGCUCCAUGAUGGCAGGACUGUUUGUCAAUUUUCUUAACUAUUUUAUCGCUAGCAUCCAGAAUAGUUCCUGCCUCAAGGUCCAGAAGUCCAAAAUGAGUCUUAGUGGGCUAAAAUCAAGUCAUCAUCCAGGCUGUGUUACUUCUAGAGGCCCCAGGGGAGAAUCGUUCUAGAAGCUAACCAUCUAUCUGGAAGAAUUGCCCAGGAAGAGAAAUAAGGCUUUGGUCAGCACUCUCAAGAGGACUCCUUCCCUGAGAGGUUAAACAAUGAUGAGCUUCAUACAGACCCUGCUUGAGCUACUUUAUAGGAUCUGAGAGGCUUUGAGGUUCCAGAAAAAUUAUAAGCCAUCCUUUUAAUACCAGGACAUGGAGGGAAUUGGUGGGAUGGUCA